UUAAGCGACUAAGCGUACACGGUGGAUGCCCUGGCAGUCAGAGGCGAUGAAGGACGUGCUAAUCUGCGAUAAGCGUCGGUAAGGUGAUAUGAACCGUUAUAACCGGCGAUUUCCGAAUGGGGAAACCCAGUGUGUUUCGACACACUAUCAUUAACUGAAUCCAUAGGUUAAUGAGGCGAACCGGGGGAACUGAAACAUCUAAGUACCCCGAGGAAAAGAAAUCAACCGAGAUUCCCCCAGUAGCGGCGAGCGAACGGGGAGCAGCCCAGAGCCUGAAUCAGUAUGUGUGUUAGUGGAAGCGUCUGGAAAGGCGCGCGAUACAGGGUGACAGCCCCGUACACAAAAAUGCACAUGCUGUGAGCUCGAUGAGUAGGGCGGGACACGUGGUAUCCUGUCUGAAUAUGGGGGGACCAUCCUCCAAGGCUAAAUACUCCUGACUGACCGAUAGUGAACCAGUACCGUGAGGGAAAGGCGAAAAGAACCCCGGCGAGGGGAGUGAAAAAGAACCUGAAACCGUGUACGUACAAGCAGUGGGAGCACGCUUAGGCGUGUGACUGCGUACCUUUUGUAUAAUGGGUCAGCGACUUAUAUUCUGUAGCAAGGUUAACCGAAUAGGGGAGCCGAAGGGAAACCGAGUCUUAACUGGGCGUUAAGUUGCAGGGUAUAGACCCGAAACCCGGUGAUCUAGCCAUGGGCAGGUUGAAGGUUGGGUAACACUAACUGGAGGACCGAACCGACUAAUGUUGAAAAAUUAGCGGAUGACUUGUGGCUGGGGGUGAAAGGCCAAUCAAACCGGGAGAUAGCUGGUUCUCCCCGAAAGCUAUUUAGGUAGCGCCUCGUGAAUUCAUCUCCGGGGGUAGAGCACUGUUUCGGCAAGGGGGUCAUCCCGACUUACCAACCCGAUGCAAACUGCGAAUACCGGAGAAUGUUAUCACGGGAGACACACGGCGGGUGCUAACGUCCGUCGUGAAGAGGGAAACAACCCAGACCGCCAGCUAAGGUCCCAAAGUCAUGGUUAAGUGGGAAACGAUGUGGGAAGGCCCAGACAGCCAGGAUGUUGGCUUAGAAGCAGCCAUCAUUUAAAGAAAGCGUAAUAGCUCACUGGUCGAGUCGGCCUGCGCGGAAGAUGUAACGGGGCUAAACCAUGCACCGAAGCUGCGGCAGCGACGCUGAUGCGUUGUUGGGUAGGGGAGCGUUCUGUAAGCCUGUGAAGGUGUGCUGUGAGGCAUGCUGGAGAUAUCAGAAGUGCGAAUGCUGACAUAAGUAACGAUAAAGCGGGUGAAAAGCCCGCUCGCCGGAAGACCAAGGGUUCCUGUCCAACGUUAAUCGGGGCAGGGUGAGUCGACCCCUAAGGCGAGGCCGAAAGGCGUAGUCGAUGGGAAACAGGUUAAUAUUCCUGUACUUGGUGUUACUGCGAAGGGGGGACGGAGAAGGCUAUGUUGGCCGGGCGACGGUUGUCCCGGUUUAAGCGUGUAGGCUGGUUUUCCAGGCAAAUCCGGAAAACUAAGGCUGAGGCGUGAUGACGAGGCACUACGGUGCUGAAGCAACAAAUGCCCUGCUUCCAGGAAAAGCCUCUAAGCAUCAGGUAACAUCAAAUCGUACCCCAAACCGACACAGGUGGUCAGGUAGAGAAUACCAAGGCGCUUGAGAGAACUCGGGUGAAGGAACUAGGCAAAAUGGUGCCGUAACUUCGGGAGAAGGCACGCUGAUAUGUAGGUGAAGCCCCUCGCGGAUGGAGCUGAAAUCAGUCGAAGAUACCAGCUGGCUGCAACUGUUUAUUAAAAACACAGCACUGUGCAAACACGAAAGUGGACGUAUACGGUGUGACGCCUGCCCGGUGCCGGAAGGUUAAUUGAUGGGGUCAGCGCAAGCGAAGCUCUUGAUCGAAGCCCCGGUAAACGGCGGCCGUAACUAUAACGGUCCUAAGGUAGCGAAAUUCCUUGUCGGGUAAGUUCCGACCUGCACGAAUGGCGUAAUGAUGGCCAGGCUGUCUCCACCCGAGACUCAGUGAAAUUGAACUCGCUGUGAAGAUGCAGUGUACCCGCGGCAAGACGGAAAGACCCCGUGAACCUUUACUAUAGCUUGACACUGAACAUUGAGCCUUGAUGUGUAGGAUAGGUGGGAGGCUUUGAAGUGUGGACGCCAGUCUGCAUGGAGCCGACCUUGAAAUACCACCCUUUAAUGUUUGAUGUUCUAACGUUGACCCGUAAUCCGGGUUGCGGACAGUGUCUGGUGGGUAGUUUGACUGGGGCGGUCUCCUCCUAAAGAGUAACGGAGGAGCACGAAGGUUGGCUAAUCCUGGUCGGACAUCAGGAGGUUAGUGCAAUGGCAUAAGCCAGCUUGACUGCGAGCGUGACGGCGCGAGCAGGUGCGAAAGCAGGUCAUAGUGAUCCGGUGGUUCUGAAUGGAAGGGCCAUCGCUCAACGGAUAAAAGGUACUCCGGGGAUAACAGGCUGAUACCGCCCAAGAGUUCAUAUCGACGGCGGUGUUUGGCACCUCGAUGUCGGCUCAUCACAUCCUGGGGCUGAAGUAGGUCCCAAGGGUAUGGCUGUUCGCCAUUUAAAGUGGUACGCGAGCUGGGUUUAGAACGUCGUGAGACAGUUCGGUCCCUAUCUGCCGUGGGCGCUGGAGAACUGAGGGGGGCUGCUCCUAGUACGAGAGGACCGGAGUGGACGCAUCACUGGUGUUCGGGUUGUCAUGCCAAUGGCACUGCCCGGUAGCUAAAUGCGGAAGAGAUAAGUGCUGAAAGCAUCUAAGCACGAAACUUGCCCCGAGAUGAGUUCUCCCUGACUCCUUGAGAGUCCUGAAGGAACGUUGAAGACGACGACGUUGAUAGGCCGGGUGUGUAAGCGCAGCGAUGCGUUGAGCUAACCGGUACUAAUGAACCGUGAGGCUUAACCUU
rnacentral:rRNA from 1 species